ACAUGUGGGGUCAAUAUGUGCAAUGCAAAAUUGUGUGUGUUGUGUGUGUGUGUGUGUGUGUGUGUGUGAUGUCCCAUGUCCCCACCCAAUUUUUGGUCAUCCAUAGCCUACCCCUCCUUCUGUUGUGCCCUCUCCUCCCCUUUCUCUUGUCUGUAUAAAGAGGGGGUGAAGCUACAUUGUCUUGACUGGACAUUCACACUCAUCAGGUUAUCUAUCCAUCCGAGGAGAGCGAAGAAAGAGUGAAUAUCGCCAUCUGAAACUCUGGAAAAGUUGGAGAGCCUGAGAACUGACUUGAGCUGCGUGCGCAUCCACUAUCACGGCAUCCUACACGAGCCCCGAGAGAAAUACCGAGAACGACAGACACGUAAAGGGAUUUUAUCUGCAUAUCAACAGAGUUUGCUUUCGGAGUUACCGGAGACAUCGGAGGAGCGGACCGAGCCUCACACAGCAUCAGCAUGAGAUUCUUCCAUCCACUGUAUCUCCUUCUGCUGCUGCUGACAAUCCUGUACAUCACCAGCGCAGAGAAACAAGAUUUUCUCAACCUAAGGCGGAAAUAUCGCAAACAGAACUGUCCAAAGAAGCGCUGUCUACCUCUUCACUCCAGAGUGCCAUUCCCUUGAGGUUUCACAAUGAUCCUUAAUGAUGUCUUGUUGAGCGUUAAGAAAACCAAAGACAGCAUUGGGAAAAGAGAGAAGAGUUUUGUAUCUGACUCACUGAGGACUGUUCCGUAACCAAGCCAUGCUAGUCACUGCAGUAAAGGCAGUGUAUUGUUUUAUGAAUGUUAGUGAACAAGCCAUGGGGACAUUCACUGCAACCAAACAUGCUGAAAACUCAUCGCUCAAUCAGUUUGAGUUUGCCAGGAUCAUUGUAAAUAGUAAGAACAGGAUGAAAUGUGUUUAUAUGUAAUUUAUGCACUUUAAAUCUUUUAUUAUUAUCUUGAUUAAAUAAAAAAAAAUAUUGUCUUUUCA